CCAUAGAGAGAGAGAGUUGCGACAACUCCAUAGACUCCAAUGGAACGGUUUUUUACAGCAAUGGCGGCUCGUGGAGCCUCUCAAUAGUUCCCGGAAGUAGCAGCCGCGCCGUAGAGUUACAGCAGAACAGACCGUUUGUGAUGUACUUUUAAAAGCACAAAGGGGAUUCAGAUCCUGAAGACUCCAUGCAAUGAUGCUGUCACCGCCAGUCUCUGCUCCUUGGAUUUUGCAAGCUUUUCCUUGCUCCUUAUUUUUAAUAAAC